UACGAAGGGGGGCUAGCGUUGUUCGGAAUUACUGGGCGUAAAGCGCACGUAGGCGGAUUGUUUAGUCAGGGGUGAAAUCCCGAGGCUCAACCUCGGAACUGCCUUUGAUACUGGCAAUCUCGAGUCCGGAAGAGGUGAGUGGAAUUCCUAGUGUAGAGGUGAAAUUCGUAGAUAUUAGGAAGAACACCAGUGGCGAAGGCGGCUCACUGGUCCGGUACUGACGCUGAGGUGCGAAAGCGUGGGGAGCAAACAGG
rnacentral:rRNA from 1 species